rnacentral:rRNA from 1 species
CAGCAGCCGCGGGAAUACGUAGGGUGCAAGCGUUAAUCGGAAUUACUGGGCGUAAAGCGUGCGCAGGCGGUCCGCUAAGACAGAUGUGAAAUCCCCGGGCUUAACCUGGGAACUGCAUUUGUGACUGGCGGGCUAGAGUAUGGCAGAGGGGGGUAGAAUUCCACGUGUAGCAGUGAAAUGCGUAGAGAUGUGGAGGAAUACCGAUGGCGAAGGCAGCCCCCUGGGCCAAUACUGACGCUCAUGCACGAAAGCGUGGGGAGCAAACAGGAUUAGAUACCCGUGUAGUCCCUGUCUCUUAUAC